UCAGUUUGAGAGAAGAGCAAAACAUUCUUUAUAAGGAGUUCAAAACGAAUACCAAGCAUUGGCAUCAACUAGGAGUAAGCACCCCCAUCAAGUCCAUGAACAGCCAACCUCUAAGCUUGCAGUUAUAUAUCUACAACAUCCUAGCUUAUCAGAGCCAAAACCUUGUGCAUAAAUGUGCAUUACUGUGAAAAUACUUUGCUUAGAUUGUUGAAAGGUGUGUUGAGCUUGUAUUUUAGAGCUUGUGCAGACAGUUCAUAGUAUGUAUAAAGUGAUGAAAGUGUGAAGAUUUAAAGAGAUAAACGCUAAAGCAGAACAAGGAAAAGGAGUUUUUGUUUGGUAGAUCAAUGAGAGACAUCAUAAGUUGGGGUUGUCAGGCCUGCUCCUACUCUGCCUGUCCUCUUCAUUCAUCAUCCCAAUGACUCUCCUUUUCUUAGCUGAGAUGUAAUGACUGAAAAUCAGAGAUGAGUAUCAAUUCUCUCA